GACGAACGCUGGCGGCGUGCUUAACACAUGCAAGUCGAGCGGUAAGGCCCUUUCGGGGGUACACGAGCGGCGAACGGGUGAGUAACACGUGGGUGACCUGCCCUCAGCUCUGGGAUAAGCCUGGGAAACCGGGUCUAAUACCGGAUAUGACUCCAUGACGCAUGUUGUGGGGUGGAAAGCCUUGUGCGGCUGAGGAUGGGCCCGCGGCCUAUCAGCUUGUUGGUGGGGUGAUGGCCUACCAAGGCGACGACGGGUAGCCGGCCUGAGAGGGCGACCGGCCACACUGGGACUGAGACACGGCCCAGACUCCUACGGGAGGCAGCAGUGGGGAAUCUUGCGCAAUGGGCGAAAGCCUGACGCAGCGACGCCGCGUGGGUGAUGAAGGCCU
rnacentral:rRNA from 1 species